UCCACCCUAUCUACCUACAGGUCAAUCAGAUUAACAGCUGAUACUAAUAAUUUUGCAGUAGCAAUACCAUAUGGCUUCCAAGAUGAUCAUCACUGCAGCUGCUGCUGCCCUAAUACUGUCAUUCCUUUUGCCGUCAGAGGUUGUUGGACGUGGGCACGCAGGCAAAUGCCGGGCUUGGCGCAACCAAGUUCCAGAAUGCCGCACCCUCAUAUCUUGCAUAAGGCGGUGCCAAGACGAGGGCAACAAGACCGGAUUCUGCGACUCCAACAAGAUUUGCAUGUGCACGUCGUGCUCGGACGAUGAACUACAGGUCGGUCAGAGAUCGUCGUCGCUUCUGCCGCCGGCACCGGAGCCAACCGGUGCAUGAGCAUGAUUGUAGCGCAGCAAUAUGCAUGUCAAUGUGAUGUGCUACCAUAUUGGGGAAUAAAUUGUGGUAGUGGUUUUGCAAUGGUAAUGAUUAAGAAUAAACUUUCAAACGUUUUCAUGCUGAA